GACGAACGCUGGCGGCGUGCUUAACACAUGCAAGUCGAGCGGUAAGGCCCUUUCGGGGGUACACGAGCGGCGAACGGGUGAGUAACACGUGGGUGACCUGCCCUCAGCUCUGGGAUAAGCCCGGGAAACUGGGUCUAAUACUGGAUAUGACUCCAUGACGCAUGUUGUGGGGUGGAAAGCCUUGUGCGGCUGAGGAUGGGCCCGCGGCCUAUCAGCUUGUUGGUGGGGGAUGGCCUACCAAGGCGACGACGGGUAGCCGGCCUGAGAGGCGACCGGCCACACUGGGACUGAGACACGGCCCAGACUCC
rnacentral:rRNA from 1 species